rnacentral:tRNA from 1 species
AUUUCUAUAGUUUAUAUAAAACAUUACUUUUUCAAAGUAAAAAUGAGUUU